rnacentral:rRNA from 1 species
CCGCUCGAUCUGCCCCUGAUUUAAUUUAAUGGCCGCAGUAUUUUAACUGUGCAAAGGUAGCAUAAUCAUUUGUCUUUUAAUUGGGGACUAGUAUGAAUGAUUGGAUGAGAAAUAUUCUUUGUUUGUUUUAUUUUAAAUAAUUUUCUUUUUUAGUUAAAAAGCUGAAAUGAUUUUAUUAGACGAGAAGACCCUAUAGAACUUUACUUAAUUGUAUAUUAUUAUAAUUUUGGUUGUUCAUUUUUAUUAAUUUACAUUUAAGUUUUGUUGGGGUGACAGUUAAAUUUUAAAAACUUUAUUUUAUAAAUGUUCAUUAGUUUAUGAUUUUUUUGAUCCAAUUUUAUUGAUUGUAAGAUUAAGUUACCUUAGGGAUAACAGCGUAAUUUUUUUGGAGAGUUCUUAUUAAUAAAAAAGUUUGCGACCUCGAUGUUGGAUUAAAAAAAGAUUUUAGUGCAGUAGCUAUUAUUCUAAGUCUGUUCGACUUUUAAUUUUUUACAUGAUCUGAGUUCAACCGGA